rnacentral:misc_RNA from 1 species
GCUUCUUGUUAAGCAGGAAAAUGAAAAUCUCCAGAUUCUUGAUGUCCGCAACUUUGAGCUAGCAGAAGUUAGCAGAACCGAAUUUAUGACACCAUCAGCAUUUAUAUUUUUAUAUGAGAACCAGUUAUUCCUGACAUUUAGAAAUCGAACUGUGGCUGUUUGGAACUUCCGUGGAGAGCUUGUAACUUCCUUUGAGGAUCACCUUCUGUGGCAUCCCGAUUGCAACACUAAUAACAUAUACAUCACGACUGAUCAAGAUCUUAUUAUUUCUUACUGCAAGGCUGAUCCUGACGAUCAAUUGUCUGAAGGAAAUGCAGGGUCCAUUAAUAUCAGCAAUAUCUUGACUGGAAAAUGCCUUGCUAAAAUAAAGGCAAAUAACUGCUUCCCCAAUGUAUGUAAUCGCAGUGGAGAUUUUAGCAGAUGCAGUUACAAUUCAAAGAAGCGCUCUCAUACCUCCAGAAUUAGGAGCACAGCUGCAGAAGCUUUGGAAGAUAUUACUGCUCUCUUCUAUGACGAGGAACGAAAUGAGAUCUAUACAGGCAAUGGACAUGGCCUAGUUCAUGUGUGGUCUAACUGAUGAUUUGGGUUUCCCUUGUUUAUAUUGUUGAAUGGAUUGUGCUCCCUGGAUGUGAUAAUUAGCUGAAAUUGUAUCAUUAAAUGCUCUUGUACCAAUUCAUUGGUUUUUUUUUUUCAUUGUCUAUUUGAAUUUCUCAUGUUUCUUCAUCAAUCUUCCUGAUAUAUAAUGUACUUUUUUAUCUUAGAGUAGGCAUUUUCUGCCGGUGGUGUUCCUGUAAAGUAAUUGAAUGGUAGAAUGGUGUCCUUACUUAGGCGCAUUAGAGAUAUUAUUAAGCUACGCCUUGCAGCCGCAAAUG